GGCCCAAAUUUGAAGUAGAGUAGAUUAGAAGGAUUAUCUGACCCUACUAAACUACACUACUUCGAGUUUGUGUCC
rfam:Haemonchus contortus, ISE/inbred ISE, WGS project CAVP01000000 data, contig: Hcontortus_contig_pathogens_Hcontortus_scaffold_2895